GAUUGUGGGAAUAAUGAUAAUUGGUAUUACUGUUAUUUCUAUUUUUAAUCCUACUGCUAUUACUGUUAUUGCCAUUAUGUCAGUUUUAUUUCAGGUUCUUCGGUAUUGGUGACCAGAGAUAUUAAUGGUUCGAAUUGUCUUUGUCAGGUACAGGUAUGCAAAUCCUGUCAACACCUUUAUGACGGGCAGCCCACAGUUGUUCUCACCCCCAACACACUCACCCACGCCCAUCAUCAUCAUCCCCCGCCUCGCAAGCAGGCGAAGCCAUGGGCAGCUAGAAAGUACGAGGGGCUGUGUGUGUGCGCGGAGACCGGCGGCGUGUGUCGCUGCGGCGUGAGCAAGGGAUCCAAGUGGCAUCGCCUCCUUCCCCGCAACGCUCCCUGGUGGCCCAGAACCAAAGUCGUCCUCCUCACCCUCGCCGCCCUCACGCCGUGGGCAUGUCUCGUCCUCUACUUCAUCUUCGCCUACAGGACGUGAAAGCCCUUCGGUUUUCGUGGCCAGUUACGACCUCGCCCACCGCGACCAGCCGCUCGAGUGCCUGGCGGCAAUGAUGUGUUGUACAAGGACUUGGACUCAGUUCAUUUAUUUUUUUAUAUAGUCAAGCACCCAUUUUUCCUUUCGCUUUUCCAUAUAUUUUGUUUUGCACAUCGUAGUGUUGUUAGUAUUUUAAUAUUUUCUUUCCCUCUCUUCAAUCAUAUUAUUGUUGCAAAUACUAUACAUAAUUGUCCAUUUCAUAACAUAUUUCCUCCCCGAAAUCCAUGCCUCCUUGUUCAUAUUUCGUUGUUACACCAACUCUCUGUUCUGGAUUUCAUGCACAUUGAUUACUUCUUGUAAGUAAGUCCACGAUACGUUAUUUUGCAUAGGAUAACGCCCCAUGAAAUGGUAUCAACGCAAGUUUUGCCCAAGGCACUCCCAGAAGAGUGCAGUAUUCCUUCGGCUCAAGUUCUUCAUGGUGCUUCCGCUUCCAGAGUGUGUAAAGAGGGGCGUGUGGCUCUCUUUGCUGCUGGAGUAUGUGAUAUCUACAACGCUAUUUCCAUGAAACUGUUAUAUUUAGGUUAUUAGUCCUCCUCCUCACGGUGACUAUUUAUGCUAAGGCUUGAGUGCUCGCAUCUAUAAUAGAAAUGAUUAAUCAGAUAAUUGACUAUUCUUUGAUUUAUACAAUACUGCUUUGAUAAUCGGAUUUCAAAGCGAAUAUUGAAAUGUGAUUUCCAUUUUGUUAUUAACAAUUAUACUUAUAUACCAAUGCAUAAAUAUAUAUGGACAAAUGCAAUUAGGUGAAAAAUAAAUCUAAAUGCACUAA